UACGUAGGGGGCAAGCGUUGUCCGGAUUUAUUGGGCGUAAAGAGCGUGUAGGCGGCUAGAUAGGUCCGUUGUGAAAACUCGAGGCUCAACCUCGAGCUGUCGGCGGAAACCAUCUGGCUAGAGUCCGGAAGAGGAGAAUGGAAUUCCCGGUGUAGCGGUGAAAUGCGCAGAUAUCGGGAAGAACACCCGUGGCGAAGGCGGUUCUCUGGGACGGUACUGACGCUGAGACGCGAAAGCGUGGGGAGCGAACAGG
rnacentral:rRNA from 1 species